rnacentral:misc_RNA from 1 species
AAGUCGUAACAAGGUUUCCGUAGGUGAACCUGCGGAAGGAUCAUUACAAAAACAAAAUCCAAACCACACCACUGUGCUCUUUAUUGUGAGAAAAAUGUCUUUGUGUGUUGUUGUUGUGUUGUGUUGGGGGAAAGGAAAGAAAUUUUAUUUUUUUCCUUUCUUUCCUUCACUCUCACACACACACACACAAGCUUUCUCUCACAUGUCUUUGUUUUCAAUUUUUCAUUACUCCUUGUUUAACCAACAACGGAUUACAAUGUUAAAACUUGAAACAAACAAACAAAACAAAAUGACAACUUUUAACGGUGGAUCUCUUGGCUCGU